rnacentral:rRNA from 1 species
GACGAACGCUGGGGCGUGCUUAACACAUGCAAGUCGAGCGGAAAGGCCCUUCGGGGUACUCGAGCGGCGAACGGGUGAGUAACACGUGAGUAACCUGCCCUUGGCUCUGGGAUAAGCCCGGGAAACUGGGUCUAAUACCGGAUAUGACCACUGACCGCAUGGUUGGUGGUGGAAAGUUUUUCGGCUGGGGAUGGACUCGCGGUCUAUCAGCUUGUUGGUGGGGUGAUGGCCUACCAAGGCGACGACGGAUAGCCGGCCUGAGAGGGUGACCGGCCACACUGGGACUGAGACACGGCCCAGACUCCUACGGGAGGCAGCAGUGGGGAAUAUUGCGCAAUGGGCGAAAGCCUGACGCAGCGACGCCGCGUGGGGGAUGAAGGCCUUCGGGUUGUAAACCUCUUUCACCACCGACGAAGCUAACGUGACGGUAGGUGGGGAAGAAGCGCCGGCUAACUACGUGCCAGCAGCCGCGGUAAUACGUAGGGCGCAAGCGUUGUCCGGAAUUAUUGGGCGUAAAGAGCUCGUAGGCGGUCUGUCACGUCUGCCGUGAAACCCGAGGCUUAACCUCGUGGCUUGCGGUGGAUACGGGCAGACUAGAGGUAGGUAGGGGAGAAUGGAAUUCCCGGUGUAGCGGUGAAAUGCGCAGAUAUCGGGAGGAACACCGGUGGCGAAGGCGGUUCUCUGGGCCUUACCUGACGCUGAGGAGCGAAAGCGUGGGGAGCGAACAGGAUUAGAUACCCUGGUAGUCCACGCCGUAAACGUUGGGCGCUAGGUGUGGGGUUCUUCCACGGACUCCGUGCCGUAGCUAACGCAUUAGCGCCCCGCCUGGGGAGUACGGCCGCAAGGCUAAAACUCAAAGGAAUUGACGG